CUGCUGCUGCUACAGUAAUUUAAGAAAGGCAGCAGCUGGGAAAGACUGUUUCUCAUGGUAACCCUUUCCAUGUGUGUCCUCCACCCAGAUGUAAAGUCAAAGACCCUCCUCUCAAAGGAGCAGCUUUGAAGUUCUUAACUCCAACAGCAUAAACCCUUUAUCGCUGGUAUAAAACAACCAGUAAAAUAAGAUACCACACCCCAAAGACUCCAGGACCUCGAAAAGAAUAGUUAAUGCAGAGGAAGGAGACACAACCUUGCUUUGCUCAGGAAUCCUAAGAAUUGUGCUACAUUUUAACAGCAUUUUUUGAAGUCAGAGAAUGCAAAGCCACUCAGAGAGAUUUUUAUCUCCUCAGCUCAAACAACAGUGGUAAUAGACACUCCACCAUCUGAGUGCGCCUAUGACCUGGGUUUUGGCUGCUUCUCUGAGAUACUUUUGAAUUCAUAUGCUUUUAAUUUUUGAAAGAAAAAGUGUUUGGGAAAGGAAAUGAGCAUGAAAAAUAUAUCUGCAAUCUGGGAGCUACAGUUAACGGAAAGGAAUCGUCUGUUUCUUAUUUAUGUAUAUAAACACACAGAGUGAUGCUGAAGGACUCUAGAUUCUCCAAGUUUUUCAGAGUGUAAUAAAAAAGAAGCUCCCAUAAUUUUACAUACAGCUUGUCACAUACAGAUUGAUGCUAUUCACCCACAGAAGAGAAGCAAUGGGGUCUCAGCAUACUCUCCCCACUCCCAACAAGCCAUUCCCAGAACCUUGUGGUGCUGACACAAGGAGUACCACAGACUCUUCAUCCAGUUGUUAUGUUUACAUAAAUGAAAAACAUUUUGAUCACACAGUUGAAUGGUAGAGUUGCAUCUAUUUAACCCUGUAAGAAUUUUUUCAUGAAAGAGCAGGACCAAGUAUCUAAUACCUUUGUAUUUCUUGAAUGAAACCUGGAAGAGAAAGGGGGAGCAUGUUAGUUUGAACAAAAUGGCUUAUUUUCAGUGGUAGUUCCACUUCAUCCAAAUUCACUCCUAUUAUUCUGCAAACACCCACACUAGCUGCUUUACAGCAAUAAAAAAACAUUCAAAAUGAUCAAGAAUGGCUUAUAACUCUAUGUGCAAAUGGAUAUAUCAUAUUCACAUUACUACUUGUAGGGGAACUGUUCAAGAAACAAGCUGAAAAAGGCCUGAGAGCUCAGGGGGAAUGCCAUAAAACUUGGGCCAUAAAGCACACAGAGGAAAACAGUCUGCUCUCAAAGUAGAGCAGCAAACAAUUAAUGAGAAAUGUAUUGGAUGACAACCCUUAUCAGCCACUUCUGAAAUAAUUGCAAGUAUGUUUACAAAACUCAGAGCAUAUUCAAUGACAAUUUGAAAAGUGAAUAUGAAGCUCAAUUCAUUAAAUAGGUUAAUUAUUUCAAAUAGUUCAACCACUUCCUGUAAAUCACAAUCUGAAGAAAGCAGCUCUGCCUGAGAAGGGCUUCAAUUUGGCAUGGCUUGUCACCACAGUCUUUCCUAUGCCUUCUUGUUUAUGUAGCCUGUGAUGGCUUCAAUACUUGUGUCCAUGCAGCUGUCCUCUGAUUUAUGAAGGAUUUAUAAUGGUGUUAAAACAGACUGUUUAAGUCCACAGCAAAGCAACAAACACAAGCAUCUCCCCAUUUUUGUCAACACUGUGACAAAAGAGGGCUUGUAUGGAUAAUCUUUACUCCUGAGGGACCCCCCCCCCCCCCAAAAAAAAAAGGUUCAUUGUUUGAAUCUCCCCUGUGGCUGCCACACACCACCAGCAGUUACCUGGCCUCUUCCUCCUGCCUUGUCAUCAACAGCCUCCACAGUGGGGCAUCAAUACUCUUUCCUCAGCAAGGCAGGACACAUCUUCUUGGCAGGCACUGGCAUCCAUUUCUUCAAAAGAUAUUGCCAUCCAUCUCCUCAGAGGGUCACUGUCAUCCAUUUCUUCAAGAAGUCAGCACCUGUCACCUUUUUAGGCACCUGAGGUCAUCUCCUCAGCAGGGCACUGUCGGCCAUUUUCUCACUGAGGCAGCGUUCAUCCCCUCAGCAGGCACUGACAGCUCUUAGCAGGCACUGGCACCCCUCUCCUCAGCAUAGCACUGGCUGCCAUCUCCUCAGCAAAAUGCAGGCAUUCAUCUCCUCAGGUGGAGCCCACUGCCUGUCUCUGCAGUGCCAGGCACUUGCCAGCAGCCCCUCUGGGGAUCAGCGAUGUGUGGGCCCUGCCGCUGACCCUGAGGUACCUGGCUGCCCGCUGCAAGGUGAGCUGUGUGCCUGUGAUGGCGGCCAUGGCAGCCUGGGAGAAAGGCUGCUGGGAUCAGGUAGCAGGGCAGCGCAGCUGGCACAGCAGAAGGUGGAGACACACAGUGUUUCUUCAAGUCUCUGCUGCCCACAGAGGCUGCAGCAUGGCAGCAGAACCACACACAAGGGCAAGUGACAGUGGCCAAACCCUACACGAGGGGAGCAGAGCCCCGGAUUGGAAAGCCCCAAGGAGCAGAUGAGGCAGUAGGGUGUUCAGAUGGACAGAGACCAGGGCACCUAGAACCUUCUGUGUGCAAGGUAUGUCUGUGAGGGCUGAUCUUGUGGUCUCAGUCUGGGGCACAGAGACACUGCCGAGGUGUUGAAAGGGAGUGAAUGCACUGACUGAUUUGAGUCUGUUCCCAUCCCUGCUCUCUACAUGACAACAAUGACACACAGCAGGUGAAAUCCUAGAAACCAUGGUGACUGAGCUGUGCCACAGUGAGUGAGAGGCUUUCACUCAGCAGUACUUGACAUGAAGAGAUUAUGCAAUGCUGAAGUCCUGCAGCAUCAUUGAGAGCCCUGGAUCUCAUCCUCUGCACCCUCAUGCUGUGAACAGCCAGGUGAAAUGGGACAGAUGCUGCUGCUUCCUUGCACAUUUGAUGGCUGGGAUGCAUCUUUCUGAGUCCAUGUCUCCAGAUAACUCAACAGUGUGCCCUGAAAUAUCCAGCAGGACUUACAUAUAAGGAGAGGAGAUUACUGCCAGUGUGUUGCUGGCUAGAACAGAAGAAGCCAAAGAGCACAAGCCAUUUCCCGUUUUCCACAACUUCUCUCACAGCUCAGGUAACUGCUGAUGGAAAUACUGAUGGAAGGAGUGAGGACCAGGAGAACGAUACUUCUGUUGUUUUGGGUUAUGCAUUGCAGGUGAAAGUGCAUGGUCAGAGUCAGAGUGUGUGUAGAAGAAAGAAAAAAGUUUCUCUUUGUAAAGGAGCAUUUUAUCCUUGCUUACCACAUUGGAAA